GGGAUUUAUUUUAUUACUUAUAGGGGCUUUCACAGCUUUAUGGCUGUUGGAUAUUUAUGUCCCCAAACUUGCAGCAAGUUUGGUGAAGGCCCCUAAAUUUAAUUAAACUUAGGAUUUUUAUAUUCCUUUGGCAGAGAAGGCUCUAUAUUAAUAUUCACGUUUGACUGUGGUGUUAAUAAGCAUAAAUAAGUAUUGUUUUAUUACAUAAUAUUUAAAGCUUUAUGAACCUAAGUAAAUUCACCAUUUUACAUUCUUGAUUUGGAGGCCUGAUAUGUUUCAUUCAAAUUUUUACUUUGACCUCUAGGAAAAUCAUUGGUUGUUUUUUGCUCAAACUUAAAAUUUAACCUUAAGGAUAAGUUUAAUUAUUUGAAUUGCCAUAGGAUACUGAAGUUUGUUGUAAAUUUCAAGCUUAUUUUGAACAUCGAGGUGGUAAGAUCAUCUGGAAAUGCUCUUUAAUGUUCUCAAAUCUCACCACACUAGAGCAAAUGUUAAUGUAGAGCCCUGUAAUGAGUGGGAAGGUGAUUUGUCUGUGCUUGUGUGGUAUGUAUGGGUGUAGACUACAGGUGUGGUAUUAUAAAAGGGCUUGGGUAUUACAUGUCUCAGUGGGAAGAUAACUAAUUUUCAGGUAGCCAAACUGAAAUUGGGUCAUGUGGCAAAUAUGAAACUACUUUGGAAUGAUUUUAGAAGUUAAAUUUUGAGGUUUUACUGAGCAGUGCUUUAUGUAAUGCACACACCAGUAGUAUAUCCACAUUUGUUUUCGAGUAGAAUUUGCUUUGAUUUUGGUGUUCAGAACUUCUAUGUUGGGAAAUGGGGUGGUGGCAGAAAGUAGCUUCUAACUUGUUUAUUCUUUACAUCAGAGACAGGAAACAGAUUUUAAUCCUUUUUUUUUUUUGGUUGGUUUGUGGUUAUUUUGAUUUUAAAUUUUUGAGAUGGGGUUUCUCUGUAUAGUCCUAGCUGGGACUCUUGUUUACAAGGCUAGCCUCGAACUCUGGAAUCUGCCUGCCUCUCUGCUUCCCCAGUAUUGUGAUUAAAGCCCCGACACCUGACAAGAUUUUAGUACUUUUUAGGAACUACUGUUUCCAUGACAAUGUUCCACUGUAUUCAUAACUUUUAGUAAAUUACAGAUAUUUUUAGACUUAUUAAAUGGACUUCACUCAUCCUUCACUCAUACUUCAGUCAUAAAGUGCUUAUCUAAUAUGCUAUGUACAAGACCUUGGAUUUCAAUCCCACCACCAUUUAACAGCUGCGACUGGAGGUAUAUUUUUAUCUUAUAUCCAACCUGCUCUAGUAUAUUUAAAUCUAUUGAAGUUGCCUGACGCAAAUUCUAAGUUAAAAAUUAAAAUAGCUUCUUACUUUCUUGAAUAUAGGGAGUGGGGGAGCGAUUUACUAAUGAUGAUGCAUUUGCUUAUUAAUGAAUACCAAAUCAUUCUUUGCAUUUGGCUGUAUUCCUAACAGUUUGGAAUUUGAGGUAGGGAAAUUUCUGUGAGUUUGGGGUCAGCCUGUGUUACAGAGUAUAAGACCCUGUCAGGGUGGAGGAUGGCUUUGUAGUUCAGUGACCCAGAGAACCAGUUGAGAAUUAUGUAGUUUUCAGGUCUCUGUAAGCUACUGGUAAAACUUGAUAAAUAAUACUGACUUCACUUUGUUGAGAUAUAGUUUGAGUAAGCGAAUGAAUGUGGGAUUUGUACAUUUGUAUUGGUUAGAAUAUACUAAGCAUAUACCCUAAAUUUUUAAUAACUCUGAUACAUAUUUUUAAAGGUAAUGUCUACCUAUAUAAUACUAGUGUUGUCUUCAUCAAAAGUGAAACAAAUUUUCUUGUAGCUUGUAGAAAAUUAAUACAAAAGGAUAGUCAGUGAAGUGUACAAUAAACUAUAUUGAGUAAAAUAUUCCCUGUUCUCUGUCCUGGCUUCCUCAUGAAUGAAAUUGAGGGUUUCUCCUUUCUUUUACUUAACCUUUGUCAAUAUUUUGUUUUAAUUUUUGUCAUCCAGCAAUUUUAAUAAUCUUGUUUAUAGUAAUUUAACUUUCUCUGUGAUAAUUCUUUGUAAAAUAAGCAUUUUAACAAUAUAGUAUAGAGUCACAUGUUAUCUCUGAAUUUUCAUAAUACUGAAUUUUUCAAAACCAGUAGCUCAAUAGACAUCCUCAAUAGAACACUUACGUUAUUCAGAUAAGUUCAUAGGAAUUAGAUAAAGAUCAGGUUACGUUUAAACUGCUAAGAACCUGAAGUCGAGCUGUUUUAUUCCAAGUAGUUCAGCAUUAGGAUUUUGUUAUUGGUUUUGGUUUUUGGUUUUUUUUUUUUUUUUGUUUUUGUUUUUUGAUUUGGCUUUUUUAGAGACAGGGUUUCUCUGUGUAGCCCUGACUGUCCUGGAACUCACUCUGUAGACCAGGCUGCCCUCGAACUCAGAAAUCCACCUGUCUCUGCCUCCCAGAGUGCUGGGAUUACAGGCGUGUGCCACCACUGCCCGACUUUGUUAUUGUUUUAAUGUUACCUGGCAGUUAAAAAUAAGGGACUCUUUUAUUUUAAGGCCAUGUGUGGAGGCGUAUGGUAUGAUUCCAGCUCUCUGGAGGAUGAGAUGAGACCAGGGUUAUUCUGCAAGUUGGACAGCCAGGCUUAGAAUAAGGGUUACAACUUUUUCAUCUGGGUGUGGUGGUGUGCACCUAUAUUCUAAUUUUAACUCAGGGGAGAGGUGGAUGGAGUCAGACUAGUCUCAGAAUAUAUGAGUUCACACCUUAGAGUUCUACUUGAGAUUGUAUCCUUAAAAGGUUUGUUAAUUCAAAAAACAUAUAAGUUGUUUUUUGUUUGUUUGGUUGGUUGGUUUUUUGAGACAGGGUUUCUCUGUGUAGUUCUGGCUGUUCUGGAACUCACUGUAGACCAGGCUGGCCUCGAACUCAGAAACCCACCUGUCUCUGCCUCCCGAGGGCAGAGAUUACAGGCAUGCGCCAAGACUGCCCGGCAUAAAUUGUUUUUAAUAAGCCCUGUUUUUACUCCUAUGUGCUAUACCUUCUUUAAUAUUUUCCUCCAAUGGAGAUACUCACCUCUAGCUCUGGAUGACAAUUAUAAAUUCAAUUAGCUUGAAAGAAUUGAAUUAAUUUUUUUCUCAGUUUUCUUUUCCAGGGAUAGAUAUGUUUUAGUAAGAAAAAUGUAGACUCUCAAAGUAAUGGUAUGCAGCCUAAAAUAGUGUUCGUUAAACUUAAUUUCAAUUUUUAUUUGAAUAAGUUAACUACAUUGAAUACUGUGUAACUAAAACUGGCACAGUGGAUAUUAACUUUGAUGGAUUAGGAUCUUGGGGAUAAAUAUGACAAUUUUUUGUGUGUAUUGUCAUUUUGAACAGAUUGAUUGCCAAGGGGAUAAAUGUGUAUAUAUUUUUAAAGGAUUACUUGGACCCCAGCCUUUACUUUAACCAUUACCAUGAUUUGUAAGGUUGCAGGUAGUUUGAAUAACUAAAUGUGUGGUAUUUCCUAAGCCUUCUGACAUUGUUACAGUAUCUGAGAACUUUGUGUGUACUUCUAUUGGGCCUUUAUUAUGGUUAUAGAAUCUGUUUUUACCGUUGAAAUUCAUUGAUGAUAGCCCUACUUGAAAUGAAGAAUGAAGCUGACUGGCGGUAGCCCAUUAGCACAGUGCUAAGUAUGCAUGAAUCCCCUGGAUUCAAUCCCAGGCACCAAAAACAGAAAAGAAAAGAAGAAUGAAGACUUUUCAUUUCCCCAAUACAUUAUAUAUUAACUGAUACUGAUUAUGUGGGAAAAAAACUAUUGUAUGGUAGAUUUAGGGUUAAGAACUUUAUUUUGGUAAAGAUCAUUAUUGGUGGUAUGUUUUUGUUUUUUUAAGAUAGUCUGGUAAUUCUAUGAGAAAAUAUUUUCACUAUCUUCAAGGGUUUACUUCCCCAAGUUAGCCAAGAAAAGAAUUAUUGUAGUUCUUGCAAUUUGAAUCAGAAACAGGGCAUCUAUUUAGUUAGAGUUAAUUCCCCUUUGCUAGCUAGCUGGUUAAUAUACUUGCAGAAGUAACAGAAUUCACGGACAUUUUUUGAAAUUGAGGUUAAUAAAAUUUCAUGACAAUUUAAAGUUAAAAUUGGCUGUAAGGUUUGUCUAAUUGAAAUUAGAAGUUAAUUAAUUUCAAUAUAUAUGCCCCUUGCCUUUUUCUACAAUCAAGAUUUCCAGAACACUUCCUACAUUGAAUACAUUACUGAUUAAAAUGAAAGCAUGUCCAAGAGAUACUUCAGUGUUGCUAGCUCAUUUUCAAGGUCACUCGAUUUCAGUAGCCAAUGUAAAAUAAUCUUUAUUAAGCUUAGGCAACCUUUUAAAAUGUACUGCUAUCAGGCUCUGAGGAAAUUAAAUGCACAUUGACUUUUUUAAGUAUGGGUUGAACUCCUCAGUUUAAUAUAAUUUGUGUUUUUGUUAACUAGCAGCAGAAUUUCAGCAUUUGCUACUUACUGGUAGAGAAGAAAAACCCCACAGCCCUGCCAGUACAGGUUAGUUUAAUCUUAAUUCUUGGAAGACGAGGAAGUCAUGCACAUCUUGCUUGAGAUUUAACCAGUAACAGUAAGUUGGAUGGUGAUUAGCCCGCCUUCCAUUCAGUCCUUCUUAGUUUAUUUGGGAAUAAUAGGAUUUGUUUAAAUUUUUAAUGAUCUACGUCUUAGCAGCCAGUACUAAAAAUGUACUCUGUGAGUUUUCUUCCACUUUGUUUUCGAUUGUAAAAUUGCUUGAGGGCUUAAGUUUUAUUGCCUUUCACAGUUUAUAAGAAUGGUGUAGAUACAGUGGAAAUGGUUUUCCUUAAAACCAUCUCUUUAGAGCUACCUUUCUGGUGAGUACUGCUUUAUAAUUUUUGUAUCACUGGUUUAUUUUUUUUAAGCUAGCUGGAAGGUGACAGUGAUUGAAAUGAGCAGCCAGGAUUUUCAAAGCUUGGAUCAGAACCUUAAGAGGAUGAUUACUGCCUGAUACUUCUGUAUUUGGAUUUUUUUUUUUUUUUUUUGACCCCAUCUCCCUUAUUUUCCUAAAGUAUUGUAUGCACUUAAACAUUGAACAUAGAUUAUUUCCUUUGGUGAGGAAAAUAAUUGUUUUUCUUAAAAUUAAUGUUUAAGAAAAUAUAGGAAUAGGAAAGAUGGCUUAAUAGUUAAGACCAUGGCAUAUUCCAGGUGUUAUGGCACACACUCUGAGACAGAGGCAAGUUGGUCUCUGAGUUCCAGGGUUCUGUAAAGGAGAUUCUCCCCCCCCACCCCAAAUAGAAAGAAAGAAAGAAAGAAAGAAGGAAUUUUGUGCAAUUGUUGUGAUCUGAGUUUCCAAUAUCCAUGUAUCACAGCCACCUUGCUUCUUCAGGAUCUGACACCUUGGGCUUUCAUGCUCAUGUACAUAAGACACAUGCACAUAAUUAUAAAAUACAUAUUUUUAAAAUACCAAAGAUUACUUUUUUUCCUCAGUACUCAUUUCUCACUGCAUAGGUUAAUGAAAUAAUAGGUUGGUGUUCUCUUCUUUAGUACUUGAACUGUAUGAAUUAUUCCAACCCUGCAUGGAAAACUUGCAUUACAAAUACAGGUUUUUAGCAUUUGUCUGCCUGUGAACAUUAACUUACAAAUAUAUUUAUUACUAUCUUUUUUUAGAGAUUGUAACAUAAGGAUUUCUUUUCCUGUAGUUAGAUUAUAGAUAAUACAGGUAUAUUUGUAUAUACAUUGUAUUUCUGCCAUGACCUUUGUGAAUAAAUCUAUCUUUUCCCUCCCUAGUAUAGAUAAUACUUGUUUUCUAAAAUCUGAAAUGUAUAAUCUGAGUGUGUAUGGUAAUGUAUUCUAGAUGAGCUCUCAACAAAGUUUUGAGCCUAAAUUUAUGUCUUUAGAUUUAAAGUGAAAUAAGUUUCGAAGGAACUCUGUCCUUUCCUAGCAUGGAUAAGCAAACAGUGACAGUUGGUAAGUAUGUAACUUCAAAUGCAUGUAGUAGUGGUAAAGGCGAGCUCCCAAACUACAGUCCAGGAUGACUAGAAGUGAGUCCUUGUCGGACUUAUGUAUAUCUAACGUGUUUUCCAAAUCUAUGUACUCGAUUAAACCGAAAUGCACCUUACUCGUCUGACUUUUUUUUUCAUUUUUGUUUUUAGGAGAUUUUUGUGUGGUAGUUUAGAAUCUUAAUAUUAUAUUUAAAACUUUCAUUGCUGUACCAAUAAGUGGCUCUUCUUCUGACAACCUAAAAUUGAACUGGAGUUUACUAACACUUCUGUUUUUCAUUUCCAUUUAUAAAUAACCAAAAUAUGGUGGCAAAGGGUGUUGUCACUCUGAUUUCCAUAAUAAGAAGUGCAUAAUUAAGGUUUGUUUUUAUUUAUGUGUCUGUGGUACACCCACAUGCAGUUUUCUCUUAAGGCCAGAAGAUUGUCUGAUUUGUAGAGUGGAGUGGGGGCUUUGGGCACCUGUAACCUGAGGAGUGUUCAUCCCUGAGCCGGUGUGGAUUUGUGUUGGGGUUUGGUGGUAGGAAGAGGGCUUUCUUUUUGUUGGGGGUGGGGUGGGGUUUUAGACAGGGUUUCUCUGUGUGUUCCAGGCUGUCCUGGAACUCAGUCUGUAGACCAGACUGGCUAUGAACUCAGAAAUCCACCUGCCUUGUCUCCCAAGUGCUGGGAUUAAAGGUGUGUGCCACCACUGCCUGGGAUUUUUUUUAUUUCUUAUGAUUGCAGCUCCCCCAUUGCGAGAAUUAUCGCAGGGGGUAUGUAGGUGAUUCAGAGAACAACUUUUUUUUUUUUUGGUUGGUUGGUUGGUUGGUUGGUUGGUUGUUUUGAGACAGGGUUUCUCUGUAUAGCCCUGGCCGUCCUGGAACUCACUCUGUAGACCAGGAUGGCUUCGAACUCAGAAAUUCGCCUGCUUCUGCCCCCCAGAGUGCUGGGAUUACAGGCGUGCACCACCAUUGCCCGGCUAUAGAGGACAACUUCUUUACAGUUUGUGUUCAUAUGUAGUUUCUAGGGAGCCAUCUCAACCCUCUGGUAUUCUGUUGGUAACAGAAGUAUGACAGGUAAAAUGAGUUUAAUUUUAUUUCUGAUAUGUUAUCUUUUUACAGCAUUGUUUUCUGAAAAGUUAAAGAAGUGGGUAUACAUGUCUUUAAUUUAGUCUCCAGGUUACUCCUGACAAGGGUCAGUUGGAUUUGGAGAAAAUGAAGAGCCAAAUCAUGUGGGGAAUGUGAUUAUAUGGAGAAUAUGAGCAUUGCACCAAAAGGAAGAAUAUAUUUGCUAGCCUGUGUAUGUUUAAUGGUACAUGAGCAUUUUUUAUAUAACAAAGUCUGCUAAAGGCAAUUAUAUGCUAGUCUCUGAUUUAUUAACGUUGGAAUCUUGUGAUACCUGAAUUUGGUUGAGAUUAUUUUAAAAUAAAAAUUUCCCACACAAAUAAUAGUGUAUGUGAAAUGUGUCUUUCUCCUGGCUCAGGAACAUUAAAGUGUGUUCUUCUCCAACCCAAAUGAAUACAUUUGUGUGGGUGCUUGUGCACACAUGUGUGCACCUUCACACACACACACACACACACCCCACUUGCACUGAGCAAGGUCUCUGUAUCCCUGGUGUUAAUGGAAUUCGAUAAUGUGUGCCCUGCUGGCCUGGAACUCCCAGAAAUCCUGCCUUUUGUCUCUCCAGUGGUUGGAUUAAAGGUGUGUAUCAUCAAGCUGAGCAUGAAUUUGAUUCUUCACACCAUCUCUAGUUAUUGUAUUUAUAUGCCCAUACUUGCCACUUUUUAGGUAAACUGGAUAAAUAUUUAAAACUUAGAAGAGAUCUAAGUAAUUCCAGUGUGUACUUAAUGUUUUUCUGUUUCUUCAUAACUUUUAUAUAUGAUGUGCUAUCCUGCUUCUCCCACUGUGCUAGCACUCUCCUUACUAAUGUCAGUGUAUCUCUGUAUACCCUUGGCUGUUCUAGACAGCUCUCUGUAGAAUAGGUUGCCCAUGAGCUCCCCUUUCCUUUGCCUCCUGAGUUUGCAUACAUAUAAAUUAUGUCCAUGAAUGUUAAGUUGUCUGCAGAGGCCAAAAGGAGGUGAUUAGAUCCCCUGGGGCUGCAAUUAUAGCUGGUUGUCAGCCACAUGACAUUGAUACAGGGAACCAGAAUCAAUUUAUUUAAAUAUCUUGUUACCUUAAUUCAACCAUCUCCAGCUUCAUAAAGGAAGAAAGAGCCCAAAUCAUAUGGGGAUGUGUGAUUGUAUGGAGUAUCUUAACAUUGCACAGAGAAAAUAGGUCCAUUCUAAAAAAUCUAAGUGAAUUUACUUAAAUUACUUAAUGUUCUAUAAUAUAUAUUUAUGUAAAUGGGUAUUUUGCAUAUAUACCAUAGACAUGUUUGAUUUCCACAGAGGUCAGAAGAGGAUGUCAGGUCCCCUGAGCUACAGUCACAUGGUUGUGAGUCACCACAUGCAUGCUAAGAAUUGAACACUGAACACCAGUCCUGCAAGAGCAAGUGAUAUUCUCCAGCCCUGAGACCCAAGUUUUAUUAAAAGGUCCAGGCUGUCUGUCCUAAACUGAAACUAUAUUUCAGUCUGUGAAAUAGUGUUUCACAUACUGCUACUACCAGUUCUUUGUUCUUUUUCUUUUUUGGUGGUUUUUUGAGAUAGGGUUUCUCUGUGUGGUCCUGGCUUUCCUGGAACUCACUCUGUAGACCAGGCUGUCCUGGAACUCAGAAACCCGCCUGCCUCUGCCUCCCAAGUGCUGGAAUUACAGGCGUAUGCCACCACACUCAGCCAGAUCUUUAUUCAUAAUGCAUUUGAAUGCGAUGUUUUUGUGUGAUGCAAUUCAGUUGUUCAUUAUGAGUAAGUUUUUCACUCUAAUAAAAGUGGUGUUUUUUUUUUAAGAUUUGUGAUCCAAAUGAAUCAUGAUGUCUGGACCUUUCAGAUAUAAUUAAUGGGGGCUUUAAAAACUUAAAAUAUCAAAGGUCUUUUGGACAGCAGUUUGGCAGGCAAAAUGUAGUUAGUAAAUACUUGAUGAAAAUUGGGGCUUAGGGAGUUUUGCUUUUUGUGACUGAGGAAUUGGCCUAAGUGGGUAAGAUCCUGUGUUACUAAGCCACAUCCAUGGCUCAAUGCUGUUUUAAGUAACUCAUUUUUGAGUGAAUAGUGUAUCUUAUGCACAAGUGCUCAUGUGCUGGGUUGUAGGGUAUUCUAUGCCAUUCAGAAAACCAACUUUGUAUAUGGCGCUAAUCAGAAUAAAAGGUUAUUUUCUGUAUGAUGAAAGGUAGCUAUGUUUUGGAUUGUAAAGUACAUCUGAACCAGGCCGUUCAAUAGAAUAGUAUUCCUUGUUGAUGAGGUUUUGUAAAAGUUUCAGAUAGUUUGAUGAACAGACUGUAAGCCAAACUCUUGCUCUAGGUAGGAAAGAAUCACAUGUUCAAGGUCAUUUUCAUCUACAUGCUGUGUUUGAGACAGUCUUAGAUCCCCAUUACAAUAAAGUACCAAUGUCAACAUAAAUGAAUUCUUUUGAGAAUGGAGCCACUAAAUGCACUGGUAUAAACUGUGAUAGUAAAAAAAUGGGAUUUUUCAAGGUUUUGGUCUCUAGUUCUUUAGAAUGAUCCCAGAGGGUUAGAAACACUUUCAGAGUUUUUAAAUCAAGUAGUUCCUAAUUAUUAAAAUACAUAUGGAGCUAGUGAGAAUGGAGUUCUUCAGUUAGCACUUGUAAAACACCUGGGGUUUGGUCCUCUGUACCUUCAUCCUAAAUUCCAAGGUAUCUAAUCCUAGAGUCAGCCUCUGUAUGUGCAUAGCAUACUUAAACAUGUCUCUCUACCUUCCCCCAGACAGGAUUUCUCAGCCUCUCAAGUGCUGGGAGUAAAGGCACUUGCUACCAUUGUCCAGCUACAAUGUAUCUUUUAAAAGUUCAUGUGUGCUGGGCGGUGGGGAAGCCUUUGAUCCCAGCACUUGAGAGGCAGAGGCAGCUUCUCAAGUUCUCAGCCAGCCUGGUCUACAGAGUGAGUUCCAGGACAGCCAGGGAUAUAUAGAAAAACCCUGUCUUGAGAAAAACAAAAAGCUGGGUGGUGGUGGCGCACAUCUGUAAUCCCAGCACUCCGGGAGGCAGAGGCAGGUGGAUUUCUGAGUUCGAGGCCAGCCUGGUCUACAGAGUGAGUUCUAGGACAGCCAGAGCUAUAAAGAGAAACCCUGUCUCAGGGAAGGAAGAAAAAAAAAGAUCCAAAAAAACCUCUGACAGCAAAGGAAGACACUUUAUUUCCUGCUCAGCAGAAGGGGACAAGAGAAGCCAGGGGUGGAUGUGAUUUAAAUGUACUGUGGUCAUGUAUGAAACAGAAAAAACUUGUUAGGCAAACUUUCUGGCCACACAUACUUCUUUUUUUGUACUUUUAAAUAGAUCACAUUGGAAUGUAUUGGCUUUUGAGACAGGGUUUUUCUAUGUAAUCCUGGUUGUCCUGGAGCCUGCCUCUGCCUCCCGGAAUCCCUUUGCCUGGGGUUAAAGGGUGUGCCACCACUAUCUGAGCCAAGUGGAAUCUUCUUGAGGUUAAAAGGAAGCUUUCUAUGCCCAGCCGCAGAUCCCCAGAACAGCUUUCAACUGUUAGGUUUCUUACACAUAUGUAGUGAGUAUUAACUAUUGAUUUGUAUCUUGUGUAAAGAUCUAGCUUAUUCCAUCUCUCUCAUACUUUAUCUUUGUGAUUAUAGCAUGCUCUUUUCAUUGUUGCUUUUGUAAAUUGUUUAAUCAAUAAAAGAUGUCGUAACUGAA